AAGUCUGGUGCCAGCAGCCGCGGUAAUUCCAGCUCCAAUAGCGUAUAUUAAAGUUGUUGCAGUUAAAAAGCUCGUAGUUGAAUUUCGGGGUUAGUAGGUUGGUCAUGCCUCUGGUAUGUACUGGUCUCACUGAUUCCUCCUUCCUUAUGAACCGUAAUGCCAUUAAUUUGGUGUUGCGGGGAAUUUGGACUGUUACUUUGAAAAAAUUAGAGUGUUUAAAGCAAGCUAACGCUUGAAUACAUUAGCAUGGAAUAAUGAAAUAGGACGUUCGAUCUUAUUUUGUUGGUUUCUAGGAUUGACGUAAUGAUUAAUAGGGAUAGUUGGGGGCAUUAGUAUUCAAUUGUCAGAGGUGAAAUUCUUGGAUUUAUUGAAGACUAACUACUGCGAAAGCAUUUGCCAAGGAUGUUUUCAUUAAUCAAGAACGAAAGUUAGGGGAUCGAAGACGAUCAGAUACCGUCGUAGUCUUAACCAUAAACUAUGCCGACUAGGGAUCGGAUGAUGUUAAUUUUUUAAUGACUCAUUCGGCGCCUCACGGGAAACCAAAGUGUUUGGGU
rnacentral:rRNA from 1 species